rnacentral:rRNA from 1 species
UGAUCCUGGCUCAGAGCGAACGCUGGCGGCAGGCUUAACACAUGCAAGUCGAGCGGGCCCUUCGGGGUCAGCGGCAGACGGGUGAGUAACGCGUGGGAACGUGCCCUUCGGUUCGGAAUAACUCAGGGAAACUUGAGCUAAUACCGGAUACGUGCUUAGGCAGAAAGGUUUACUGCCGAAGGAUCGGCCCGCGUCUGAUUAGCUGGUUGGUGAGGUUAUGGCUCACCAAGGCGACGAUCAGUAGCUGGUCUGAGAGGAUGAUCAGCCACACUGGGACUGAGACACGGCCCAGACUCCUACGGGAGGCAGCAGAAGGG